rnacentral:rRNA from 1 species
UACGAAGGGGGCUAGCGUUGUUCGGAAUUACUGGGCGUAAAGCGCGCGCAGGCGGUCCUUCAAGUCAGAGGUGAAAGCCCAGAGCUCAACUCUGGAACGGCCUUUGAAACUAGAGGACUUGGGUACGGUAGGGGCAGAGGGAAUUUCCGGUGGAGCGGUGAAAUGCAUUGAGAUCGGAAAGAACACCAACGGCGAAAGCACUCUGCUGGGCCGACACUGACACUGAGAGACGAAAGCUAGGGGAGCAAAUGGG